UCCUCCAAGGCUAAAUACUCCUGACUGACCGAUAGUGAACCAGUACCGUGAGGGAAAGGCGAAAAGAACCCCGGCGAGGGGAGUGAAAAAGAACCUGAAACCGUGUACGUACAAGCAGUGGGAGCACCCUUUGGGGUGUGACUGCGUACCUUUUGUAUAAUGGGUCAGCGACUUAUAUUCUGUAGCAAGGUUAACCGUAUAGGGGAGCCGUAGGGAAACCGAGUCUUAACCGGGCGUUAAGUUGCAGGGUAUAGACCCGAAACCCGGUGAUCUAGCCAUGGGCAGGUUGAAGGUUGGGUAACACUAACUGGAGGACCGAACCGACUAAUGUUGAAAAAUUAGCGGAUGACCUGUGGCUGGGGGUGAAAGGCCAAUCAAACCGGGAGAUAGCUGGUUCUCCCCGAAAGCUAUUUAGGUAGCGCCUCGUGAAUUCAUCUCCGGGGGUAGAGCACUGUUUCGGCUAGGGGGCCAUCCCGGCUUACCAACCCGAUGCAAACUGCGAAUACCGGAGAAUGUUAUCACGGGAGACACACGGCGGGUGCUAACGUCCGUCGUGAAGAGGGAAACAACCCAGACCGCCAGCUAAGGUCCCAAAGUCAUGGUUAAGUGGGAAACGAUGUGGGAAGGCCCAGACAGCCAGGAUGUUGGCUUAGAAGCAGCCAUCAUUUAAAGAAAGCGUAAUAGCUCACUGGUCGAGUCGGCCUGCGCGGAAGAUGUAACGGGGCUAAACCAUG
rnacentral:rRNA from 1 species